rnacentral:lncRNA from 1 species
AUGGAGAAUUUGAUUGAACAAGAUGUAGAAUAUUCUGCUCAGACCGGUGAGUUUCAACUAAAUGAAGAUCUCUGUCCAGCUUCCCUUCCAGUGCAGCGUUCUGAAGAUGCUGCUUUUUUUAAGAAUGAUUCCUCCCUGCUUACUCAAAACCAGAAAUUGGUUCAUAAUGAAGGUGCAGAUCAGGCUCUUCUUUCUGACUCAUCUGCAAGCUCUUGCUGUAGUUCUUCUGAUAUAUCUGUCAAGGAAGGAUUUGAUUCUUCAUCAUUAUCACCAGAAUUUGAUUUAGAAUCAUACAGCUCAUCUCCUGAUGGGCACCGAAAAUUGGCCUUAAGUGGGGCACAAAUGACAUUGGAAGGCAACUAUUUGGACAUGGGGACCAAAUCGCCAAGCAAGAACCAAAGUGCCCAUAGAGAAGGUAGGGAAUAUGAAAUGGUGCUGAACAGUAUCCUGGAUCAUGAACAUGAGACCAGUGUUUCAAGCAAAAGAAUCCAUUUCUCAGAAGAAGAGCUACAGGGGUUGAAAUAUGAGCUUGAGAGAAAUGAAUCAGUUGCCAAGCUGAUAGUUUUCCUGAAAGUGCAGCUUGGUUCAGCAGAAAGUGAGGUUGAGAUGCUAUGGGAUGAUCUCAAGAUCCAAGAACUACAAAAGCAAGUAGCUCUGCUGGAAAGUCAGAUAUCAAACUCUGAUUACAAGAUUGAGGAAUUGGCGAGUGAGUUGGAAAUGACUAGAGAUAAGCUUGAGGCGUCAGAGGAAGAAGUUGCCAGGUUAAAGGAUGACUGUUCAAAAGUGAUCACCGAGAACACUUGCUAUUUGGCUGAUCAGCUUGAAUCAACUCAGGAAGAGUUAAUCUUGCUGAAGGCCAAGCUUGAUUCUGAGGAAAGGCAUACCUUGGAACUACAAGAGAGCAUUAUGAGGAACAAAGCUGACAUAUCAGACCGUGACCAAGAGAUCAGGAGAAUCAGUGCUGUACUAGAGGACGCCCAAGAAAGCUUCUGCGUGCAGAAAGAGCAGUUCCAGUCUCAAAUAACUAGUUUGUCAGAACAGCAGACCCUGCUAGAGGCAAAGACCGAACAGUUAGAGAUGCAAAACAGAUCAUUAGAACGUAAGGCAAGACAAUGUGAAGCUGAGAAGAUUGAAAUGAAAACUUUGCAUGAAGUACAAGAAAUCAAAUGGAAGGCUGAAACUGAAUGCUUGAAAAUGGAGAUAAAUAAGAAUGGUGAAGAAGUCCAUGGUUUGAAUAAAGAUCUCGACAAGCUUAAACUGGAGUAUGACACACUAAUGACAAAGAAAGAUGAGGUUAAUGCUAAGGUACAGAAACUUGGUGCAAAAGUGAUGUCAAGGGACAUUCAAAUCCAAGAAAUGAAGGAUCACCUGAAGCAGCUUAUUGCAGGAUCUGAAAGUGCACAGAGAUCAAUAGAGGAAUUAAGGCUAAGAGUGGAGGAGUUGCAGAAGGAAGUGGAGAGACAAACAUUGGUAAUCUCAGAUAGAGCUGAGGAGAAAAG